UGUAAACCCGGAUUUCGCUUUUUUGUUAUCUUAACAAAUGUUUUCUUGUCAAUAUGACAUGGGUGUGUGUAGAAAGUUGAUAUAACUUCAAAUAAGCAAUUAACAGCGCCUCAACUACAUGGAAGUUAACCAAAUUGAAAAUCAAUGUUAUGUUAGCUAGAAAGACCUAGUUGAGUUAAAAAACCAGGCUAAAAUUGGUCGUUUAUGCGUCAUCACGUUGUACGCUGAGAGUCACGUGGUACGACUUGCGUGCCUGCGUGACUUUGAAUCCACCGGGAACGGGAAGGCACUGCCGCCAUCUUUCUGCGCAGUGAAAAGGAGAUACCGGAGCGGACUCUUUUACUCGACAGAAGGUGAGUGCAAAUUCUUAUAAACAUACAUGUAAUACUUCUGAAACAUUUAAUGUGUUUGGUAUUGCGUGAUACUCGUUAAUUGUAAACUUAACUGAAAAAAAUGCAAGCUUUACACUGAGCAGAGUUUUUCUUAACCACUUAGCUUACUAGCUAGCCUACUUAAACAUAUAUGUUCGACAGCACAGUAAAUAUCGAGUGUAAUGACAUUAAUUUACAUCGAAAGUUGUACUUUUCAUUGUCACUGGUGGCAGAAAACGAAUUAAAAAAUUUCAACAGGUAGCGUUUUACACGAGGCGGUAGCGUUUUACACGAGGCGGCACCGUUAAACUGGCUGCCGGAAUGUGGCCUACACACAGCGCCCUCGUGUUAGUUCAAACACCAGAAACAACGUCUCCGCUCCAGUCUGCGAUGCCAGAGCUGAUUUUAAUCAUGAGUUAGUAACAACCGCAUCAUAUUUUAAUUUUUAAAAUAGUCAAUUUCCUAGUGCCAUUUGUGAACUAAACGAGAGCUUUUCCUUGCUACCUGUUUGAAUGAAUAGGCUAUGCAAUAACCUUAAUCACGUGUUUUUAUUAAUCCAAUUUUCAUGGGGUUUUAAUCUUGCGGUCACAGUAAAAGUACGGCAGACUUGGCGUCUGUUUUUUAUUUUUUAUUAUUUAAUUUAAACCACUGCUGGACGGCCAUAGUCUGCUGUGAACGUCACGGGCACAUCUACAAACAGGGCUGCUGAUAUUGGCUGCUGUUCAGGCUUCUGUGGUGUUGUAUUUAUUCUUGGCUGGCCGCGGACCUGUGCGCGCGCGCACACGCAUGACAAGGUUGAAUUGGACCAUAACGUUAUUCAGCGGUCUUCAAUAGCUCCCAAUAGAUUUAAAGUAUUGUAAAUGGAACUUUGCCGUUUACAAGACCGGUGCACGUGUCAUGCUUUAAGAUGCCCCUUUGAAUAGAAAUGAGAAAGUGCUAUAUUUGUUAUGAAUUGCCCUGGCAUUUUAAGAAUCAUUAACAAAUAAAUAAAUACAAAUAAAUAAAUAUCAGCUUAACUGUCUUUUACACUGAACUUUUAGACUUAUUAUAGAGAUAUGUGUACUGUUGUAUGUAAAUAGGAAAUGGUUAUUUAACUACCAAGUCACAUAUCUGUCCUAAUUCUCCUUUUUUCUCCCUUCUGUUUCCAGUUUUACAUGCUGAAAAUGCAAAUGUCUACAUGUUUUGAAUGCAAACGGAAAUGCGGUGGAUUUUGACUGUCAUCUAGUUUUCCGAUCACAACAAUCUCUGAAAAACCACUUGAGACAACAUGGAGUUUCACAGCAUGGACCUAUUGGACAUUUAAACUUUAAAAUUAACUGUCAGUUAUGCAAUUUCAAUGAUCCAGUGACUAUAAAACAGUAUUUCUCUCAUCUUGGGAAACAUCUUAAAAGCAAAGAGACUGUUACCUGCCCCUUAAAUCAUUGUUCUUUCAAAUCAAGUGUUUACUCUACCUUUACUUCACACAAAAGUCGUUUUCAUAACAAUGUCACACUGCAAGACUUGAAAUCUGAGCUUGUUAUUCAAACAAAUGUAAAUGAGGAGCACCUGGUUGAUCAAGUGCAGUCAGAUAUCAGUGACGCUGAAUUUUCUGGGGGUGAGAAUAUAACCGAGCAGGAGGUUAACACUGAUACAGUUCAGGCAAGACUUGCAUCUUUAUUUCUGCGAUUGCAAGCAGUUUUGCAUGUCUCAAAGACAGCGGUUCAGCAAAUAGUUACAGAAUUGAGGGAUAUUGGUGUUUUAGUUGGUGAGCUAAACAAAAACACUCUUGAUAAAGCAUUGAGGCAGCAUGGUUGUACCAUUGAUGAAAACACUUUAAAUAUAGUUAAAGAUACUUUGUGCCAGGCUAAUCAUUUUAGCUGUCUUUCUGAAGGUGGGUCUUUGGGAACUGACAAAAGAAGGUUAUCAUUUUUCAAAGAAAACUUCAGUGUUAUUAACCCAGUUGAAUUCGUUUUAGAUUUGUCAUCAAAACGAACAUUUGUUUAUGUGUCAAUCUUGGGUGUUCUUCAAGUAUUGUUAAAUAGGGGUGAUGUACUUGACAGAGUUUUAGAAGAAAGCCAAAAAUCACAAUCUGGCCAUUAUACAUCAUUUUCUGAUGCAUCAUACUGUAAAGAAAAUCCACUUAUUUCUGGUGAAGAUCUGAGUAUUUCUCUGGCCUUGUAUAUUGAUGAUUUCGAAGUCUGUAAUCCUUUAGGGACAUCAAGAAAAAAACAUAAAUUGUGUGCCAUCUAUUGGAUAAUUGCUAAUUUACCUGUAAGAGACAGAUCAUCAUUAUCUACUAUAUAUCUGGCUGCCCUAUGCAAAAGUCAAGAUGUUAAAACAUUUGGUUACAGUCCAAUUGUUCAACCAUUACUAAGAGACCUAAAAUUGCUUGAAAAUCAAGGAAUUUACAUCAACAGAUUGGGAACUAGUGUCAGAGGCACAGUACUAUACAUUUCAUCAGAUAAUUUGGGGGCACAUUCUUUUGCUGGCUUUCAAGAAUCAUUUAAUGUGGACAAGUUUUGCAGAUUUUGCCUUGCAAGUCGUAAAGAUAUUCAAACUUGUUCUGUAAGAAGUGGUGCAUUUGUAUUGAGAACAAGAGAGUCGCAUAACCUAGACCUCUCUGAGCUUAAAGAAAAUGUGACUUUGAAAAGUGUGAAUGGGGUAAAAAGGGACUGUGUUCUAAAUGAGCUACAGUACUUUCAUUGCAUCACAGGGUUUCCACCUGACUUUUUGCACGACCUGUUGGAAGGCAUUGUACCCUUUGAGCUGUGUUUGUGUUUGAAAAAAUUAAUUGAUAAGAAAUAUUUCACUGUAGAUAAUUUAAAUACUGCCAUACAGCACUUUCCUUAUAAGUUCUCAGACAAAACCAAUUGCCCUCAGAAAAUUCCAGUAAAUUUUCAUUUGGUUGGAACAAUAGGAGGGAAUGGCCAUGAGAAUUGGACUCUGUUAAGGUUGUUGCCAUUAAUUAUUGGUGAUGUUGUUCCUGAAAAUGAUAACGCUUGGUCUGUGAUUCUCGAACUGAAAGACAUUGUUGAAAUCUUGGUAUCGUCCACUUUCACAGAAGAAAGCCUCUCUUACUUGGAAGCAAAGAUCUUUGAACAUAGGACACUUUUAAUAGAAGUGUUUCCUGAUGUAAAACUCAAACCCAAACAUCAUUUCCUUGAACAUUAUCCCUGUCUAAUUCGAUGCUUUGGACCUGUGGUUGACUUCUGGACAUUUCGCUUUGAAGCUAAACAUAGCUUUUUCAAGAAAGCGGUCCGUGAUCUAAAUAACUUCAAGAACAUUGUUUUAUCCUUGGCCAACAGACACCAACUUAUGUUGUCAUACUUUUUUGACAUGCCGUGCCUGUUCAAGCCAGCAGUGGAAGUAGAAAGAGCAACAUACAGUUCCCUUGAAAAUCUGUCAACCUCAGUCAGACAAGCUAUUCAGCACAAAUUCAGUCAUCUGACCAGUGCAUCACUUGCAACAACAGCCUUUAUACAUGGGACAAAAUAUGUAAAGGGAAUAUGUUUUGAAGUUUGCAGCGCUGAUGAUCUCCAACUGGUUGUGGUCGAACCUGCAGAGCUGAACCACUACGCCCCUCUGUCAGCCUACACCGUGCAAGGAAGACACCUGAUUUCUCCGAAGGCAUCCCUACUGCACUGAGUUGGGAUUCACCAUGUUGCUGCGCGUCAUCCUUAGCCAAGACGACAUCCGGAGGAUAACAAUUGACAGCAUGCCAGAGACUGUUGAUGGCCUUCACUUGAUGCUGAAGAACAAGCUUGGAUUGGAAGGUGACUUGGUGGUGCAGUUCCAAGAUCCAGAGUUCGAUAAUGAGCUUUGCAACUUGAGUAGCAUGUCAGAGCUGCCUAAGGACAAAGUGACUUUGAAAGUAUACAGCAAGAAUCUUGAAUCCUAUCAUACAGACUCAACCUUAGACACGGCAAGCCUAUCCACAUCCGCUGAGGGAAGCCCCUCUGCCAGUCAUACCCGUCAGCUGCCACAGCCAUUUGACAUCCCUACUUUUUCGUAUGAUGUGGAACUUAAGUUGAAGAAAGGAAAUGAAGCCUUCCAUGAAGAUGGAACCCUUCUUGAUGUGUCCAAAGACACAAAAUCAGACAUUUUGGAUAAAAUAGCAGAAGCCAUCUAUGUCCACAACGCAUACCCAACACGUGAAGAUUAUGACUUGGUGUCACAAGCUCUCGUCGACAAACAUCCCUGUCUGAGGGAACCAGGAUCUGUCAGCGGUUGGUACUGUUGGAAAUUUAGCUUGAAGUUCAAAAUGGGAAACUUCAGACAGAAGCUACGAUUGGCUGGAUGCCCAGAGCUCAACAUCAACUCGCGCUCUUCAGGUACACCUGGGAAAGGAAAACUUAAGAGGGCCAGAAAAUCUGAAGUCAAUUUCCUGCCAGACAUCCCAGAGGGAAAAACACAACGUUCCCUCGAAGAGGAAAGAACCGAGAUGGUCACCGAAAUGAAGAAAAGGAAAAUUGAUUGGCAGAAAAUAAAAGGAUUGAUGACCAGCACUUUUUCUUUACGGAGAAAAACAAUUGUGGAGGAUGAGCCACCUGUGGCGGAUGUCAGAGAAAGAUGGCCGGCACUGUUCUCUGAACGUCAGAUUGAAGCAGAGUUUGCUCGCCUUACGUCUGUUGACCUGAAAGACUCCCUCUUCGCUGGCCUUGACAAGUAUCUACUGAGGUUCCUUGGGGUGUACAGGGCCAGGAUGGGUCUGGUGGAGCUGAACAGCCUUUUGAGGACUCUGGACAUUGAUGGUUCCAACCAAAGGCAAAGGGCAGUUGUUUUGAUGGGGCUCCCCCACUACUUAAAAGAUGGGUCCACACUGUACAAGAAAGUACAGGUCACAGAUGCAGAGGAGGACUGGACAAAGGGAAUGGCAGUCGGCAUCCUCAUGGUGGCACAGAUUGAUGAGCUGGUCCGUUUCGCAGUGGUCCUCGAGGAAGAGAUCAUCUUUCCAAGCCUAAGUGAUUUCCCAACUGCUGUGGCACUGCUGAUGGGUCUGCUCUUUGCCCUUAACAUCGACUACCCCAGGGGCCUUAGGUACACUUUUGAAGUUAUUCAGAAGGUGCUUAUGGACAUUGGUGGAGGGCAAUGCUCUGCCUUGGUUCAUGGCUUAAAAAACCGACUCUUGAGGAAGAAAAUGUAAGCUUAAAAAGCACAGUUUACGCAAAAGUGAACAUUGUUGAGUGUUAAAUGGACUCAUUUAAGGUUAGGUGUUUGCGAUCUGAACAAAGCAAGGUUCUGCAUUGGUUCAUGGUGUAAGAAAUUAAGUUGUUGAAACCGUGCAUGUUUAAGAGUUCAAGCAGAGUUUACUGUGUUUUGGUAACAACCAAAUGUCACCAUCUUCAUGGGUUUGUGGAAUGAAAAUAGGUGAUUGUAUUAACAUGUAAGAUCUACUGAAUAUAAUCUGAAUGCCAACCAAAUGUGGACAUGGUAUGAGAAAUUGACUCUUAAUUGAAAACCAUGCAAGUUACAGCACCAACUUCAUUCUAGUUAACUAAAUAAAGACCUGGAUGGGCAUUAUAUUUUGACACUUUAUCAGUGUAAAGUGAAUGGCCGCUGUAGAAGAUUUAGACACUGUCUAGAUGUGGGGGACAGCAAUACAGACAAUUCUGGGUUGUUUACUUACUGAUCAUUUUUUAUGCACUUUUUGUAAAUCCACAUAGUUGCAUGGCAACAAAUUAUUCUUUUUUCAAGUUGACACCACCUAUAUAUAAUGUGUAUUUUUGGUUGUCAUUUACAACUUGAAAUGCAUAUUUUCAGACUAGUUUUCCCCCUGCAUCCCUUUUUUUAUGUUUUGUUGCACUAUUUGUAAAAGCAAAUUGUUGAAUGCCAACUAAUGUUAUCACAAUACAAAUCUGUAGGAGAAAUUUGGGGGAGGAAAUAAUUUUAGGAUUGAUACCUAAAUUAAAUUCAUUAAAAUAACAAGUAUUUUGCGAAUAUGUGUGCAUAGUAUAAUUGGUAACAAAAUAAUAUAUGCAGAAAAGGGCUGUAAAAAUCCUCAACAGUACAGAUUUGUUAUUUUGAUGACGUGUCGGUACAGUUGUAACUUGUUACUGUUUUGUUUUUUUUUUAUACGUGAAGAUUUCAUCUUCAGUAAAAAAAAAGAAAAAGGUAGGCCUACAAUAAAACUGUUGGUCUGUGACUGCCAAAAUCUCUGGUGUAAAGGCUCGUCAUUUACUCUUUUGAAAUAAAAUCCUUAGACGUAAUUAAAUGUGAUGUAUGCAGAUAAUAUGUAUUGAGCAAUGUUUUUACAGGUUAAAAAGAGAA